rnacentral:rRNA from 1 species
CCUACGGGUGGCUGCAGUGGGGAAUAUUGGACAAUGGGCGAAAGCCUGAUCCAGCCAUGCCGCGUGUGUGAAGAAGGCCUUCGGGUUGUAAAGCACUUUCAGUGGGGAAGAAAGCCUUGGGGCUAAUACCCUCGAGGAAGGACAUCACCCACAGAAGAAGCACCGGCUAACUCCGUGCCAGCAGCCGCGGUAAUACGGAGGGUGCGAGCGUUAAUCGGAAUUACUGGGCGUAAAGCGCGCGUAGGCGGUCUGAUAAGCCGGUUGUGAAAGCCCCGGGCUCAACCUGGGAACGGCAUCCGGAACUGUCAGGCUAGAGUGCAGGAGAGGAAGGUAGAAUUCCCGGUGUAGCAGUGAAAUGCGUAGAGAUCGGGAGGAAUACCAGUGGCGAAGGCGGCCUUCUGGACUGACACUGACGCUGAGGUGCGAAAGCGUGGGUAGCAAACAGGAUUAGAUACCCUUGUAGUC